rnacentral:rRNA from 1 species
AUUGAACGCUGGCGGCAGGCCUAACACAUGCAAGUCGAGCGGAUGAAGGGAGCUUGCUCCUGGAUUCAGCGGCGGACGGGUGAGUAAUGACUAGGAAUCUGCCUGGUCGUGGGGGAUAACGUCCGGAGACGGGCGCUAAUACCGCAUACGUCCUGAGGGAGAAAGUGGGGGAUCUUCGGACCUCACGCUAUUAGCUGAGCCUAGGUCGGAUUAGCUAGUUGGUGGGGUAAAGGCCUACCAAGGCGACGAUCCGUAACUGGUCUGAGAGGAUGAUCAGUCACACUGGAACUGAGACACGGUCCAGACUCCUACGGGAGGCAGCAGUAGGGAAUAUUGGACAAUGGGCGAAAGCCUGAUCCAGCCAUGCCGCGUGUGUGAAGAAGGUCUUCGGAUUGUAAAGCACUGUAAGUUGGGAGGAAGGGCAGUAAGUUAAUACCUGGCUGUUUUGACGUUACCAACAGAAUAAGCACCGGCUAACUUCGUG